UCCCUCUUCUCUCCCUUUUAUUAGGUAACAAAUUCAGAGAGUUGUGUCUCCUCUUUGGUCUUCUCUCCCAAAGCCCACAAUCUGCUCUAAAAGAGCUCCAAGAGCUCCCUUUCUCUGUUAUUCCUUUAGCUCCAGGUAUGAAAAGAUCUUAGGGCUUCAUAAUCCUCAAUCGGUUGAAGAAAUCUUUAAGGAUUUCAGAUGAAGGCACGUUGGAACGAUCAAGGCUCUCACCACUGAUGUUGAGAAAUUAUUUCAAUAAUGUGAUCCUCGUGAGUUCUGUUUUUUAUAUGGGUUUGGUAGGGUUUUGGUUUUAAAAAAAGUAAUAGUGACUAUGAUAUCAAUUUGGUUUCUGGAUGUUGUUAAAUUGUAUAUUUUGAGUAUUUAAGGGUUGCAAUUACUCAGGUUUCACUUUAGAGUUAGUUGGAUCUCAAAUUCAAAGAUAUCUCCAA